UACGUAGGGUGCAAGCGUUUAAUCGGAAUUACUGGGCGUAAAGCGUGCGCAGGCGGUUUUGUAAGUCUGUCGUGAAAAUCCCCCGGGCUCAACCUGGGAAUGGCGAUGGAGACUGCAAGGCUAGAGUUUGGCAGAGGGGGGGUAGAAUUCCACGUGUAGCAGUGAAAUGCGUAGAUAUGUGGAGGAACACCGAUGGCGAAGGCAGCCCCCCUGGGUUAACACUGACGCUCAGGCACGAAAGCGUGGGGAGCAAACAGG
rnacentral:rRNA from 1 species